CUGCCUACGGGAGGCAGCAGUGAGGAAUAUUGGUCAAUGGCCGGAAGGCUGAACCAGCCAAGUCGCGUGAGGGAAUAAGGCCCUACGGGUCGUAAACCUCUUUUGCCGGGGAGCAAGGGCGGGGACGUGUCCCGGCCCGGAGAGUACCCGGAGAAAAAGCAUCGGCUAACUCCGUGCCAGCAGCCGCGGUAAUACGGAGGAUGCGCGCGUUAUCCGGAUUUAUUGGGUUUAAAGGGUGCGUAGGCGGGCUUUUAAAUCUGCGGUAAAAAUUCGGGGCUCAACCCC
rnacentral:rRNA from 1 species